UUUUGUAUCACUACUGCCCUAUUGGCUUUGUGGUGGUGAAGUGGAAAAAGAAAUCUGUCUGUUUAUGUAAAUUUCAGAUCUGAUGGAUGAAAAUGAACUUAUAAAUUGAUUAUUUAGGACUGUGUGUUAAUGUUGUCUUGACCUCUUACAAAUGCUUUUUCUAGCAAGUUGUGCUGCUCUAAGGUUCCUCAAGUAAGUGGAAUGAGUUAACCUGAAUGUGCCUGGGAAGAGGCAGCUGUGAUGGGAGGCCUUGUAAACACUGUGUUGCAGUCAUUGCUUCCAUGAGGUUCUGCAAAAGGUAUGAGGGCUGCUGGCUGAGACACAGGUGUGAGAAGAAUGGAAAAACAGAUGUUAAUCGCGUCAGCAACUCAUUUUUGGAUGUGUGUUUGUCGUAAUGGGCAGUACUAAUUCCAAACCAACUCUUUCACCAGAUAGCAGCAAAAAGGCUAAGAACGUGAGUACAGGGCAGAGAGACUCCAAGCAAGUUAACGAAUUGUGUGGCCUCUCUGCUGAAAUCAGGGAGCCUGCAAGUAGGUCUUCAGGAGUUUGCAGCAGUAAUGAGAAUAUCGAGGGUGUUUUCUAUAAGUUUGUGAUUCUGCAUGCUGAGAAUGAUGUAGAUGAAGCCAUCCGGAUCCAGAACCUGCUGCAGAAUAAGUUUUGUAUUAAACCUGGAAUAAUCUUUGCUGAGAUGCCUUGUGGUAAACACAUCCUGGAAAAUUUAAGUGAUGCUGUGAAUGACUCUGCAUGGACUAUUAUACUACUGACAGAAAAUUUUCUGAAUGGUCCUUGGUGCGAGUUUCAGUCUUACACCUGUCUUGUCAAUGCUCUUAACAAACAGCAUAAAUACAACUCUGUGAUACCUGUGAGGCCGGUGAAUAACCCGCUUCCCCGGGAGAAGAUUCCUUUUGCCUUGCAGGCUAUUAAUGCCCUGGAAGAAGACAGUCCUGGCUUUGCAAAACAAGUGGAGAGAAUUUUCCAGGAGUCUACGUAUAGGCAACAGCGAGAGAUAUGGAGGAGGGAAAGGAUGAAAGAGAAACUAGAGCACUUCUGAUGGUGGAAAAAGCUAUGUAAAGACAGGUGAUGAUUAAAAUAAAGCAGAAGUGAUAUUCUUUAAGGUACUCUUUAAGGAAGAAAAACUCUUCUUUUGACAAAACUAAUGAUAAAGUUCUCAGGGGAGGCAUGCUAAUUAAGUACUGGGGAAUGCAUGCUGCAUAUCAAGACACAACUGUCACUGUGCAUGCCAGCUUAGAGGCACAAGGUGCUGGUUUCCACCACCCUUAACUGGUUUUGCCUUUAUUUUUUGAGCUCUGCCAGACAUGUAUUGUCUUCCGUUAACAGGGUACAGCUCUUCACAUCUUGUGGCUGAUACUGAAAAUUAUAAGUAAAUGAGGAAUACUUAUUAUUAUCAGACCAAUAUAUUAUGAAAGGCACUCUAUGAAAUAUGCUGCUACUUUAAGAAAUGGACACUUAAAUAUGUAGAUAUUUUUGUUGCACUUUGUUUUUCUAUAGCAAACACUUUUUGAUGCAUGCUGAAUGUUUUGUUGUUUAAUAAACACUUUUUUGGCUCCUUUUGA